GGCAUCUGGUGACACAGCACACCACGGUCAGGCUGGGUUUCAUGCAGCCUUUUACAUCCAUCUCUGGAGGCGUGCUGUCAGCUCUGUGAUCCUCUCCCCAGAUCUAUAGCCCUAAGAGGUCUGUGGGCUAACCAUCAAAGACUUUGCUCAGUAGAAAUGCGAGUUAAAAUCCUAUUUCAGUAGAAGACAGGCUUCCAGGACGCUGUCCUAUCUGUCUAUGCCUCCAGGGCAUCUCCAGAUUUUUCAAAGACAAUCCCCAGGUUUCAUUUGCUUCUGCCCAAAACACAAGUACAAUAAGAAAAUUCUCCAUAGAUAAUGCUGUUGUUUUCUCAGUUGGGGAAUGGUUUUUAAAACUGUUAUUUUAUUGACCUGGAGAUCAACGCAAAAUAAAAUCAGUGCCCUCAAAUGCACACAGAAGUUGCAUGCAGCAGCCCCGGCCUGGGAGCCUGCAGUUGUACUUUGCCUGCUGUGCCACUUUGCUAUCGGCCCCUCAAAGCAAACAAACCCCUGCUGUUCCCACCAGAUCGCCUGUCCCAGGGUGAAGCCCAUGCUGACCCUGACUCAGUAGCUGUGCAAGUGCAGGGAGAGCUCGCAAACCACAACCAGCCCUCCACCUGUCUCUGUUCCAGGGGACGUUUUCUGUUUUCCCUCACCUUUCUCCUCCCUCAGGCUGCCUGUUUUGCUUUCUUCUGGCUGCGCCCCUCCUGCCAGCCCCAGAUGCUGAAGCCAUCCCAGCCUCUGCUGCCUUCUUCCCUGAGAACAUUUCUACCACCAACACCAGUGACCUGCUUCUCUGUCCCUGUCCUGAGAUGAGAAAACCUGAAGCCAUUUCUAACCUCACCAUGCUGACAGGUCACUCUCUGUAUUACUGCACUGGGUAACCUUGUGAAAUACUUUCAGUCCUGACUAGAAGCUGUGUAUGCUGGCAAAAAGAAGAGAUCUUUAAAGCAUCACAUAGAUGUUUACCAGCAUGUGAUGAGACACUUUAGUAGAAGAACUGUACUCCUCACUCAGGAGUUUUCCUGUAGAUCAAAUACCACCCAUCCUCACUGAGCUCUUGCUGGAGUAUUUAAGAAGGUCAUGGUACCUAGGCUUGCUUCGUCCACCCCUCUGAGAGAGUGCCCAGCUCAGUAACCUAUUUUUUGAGAGGUGAUUUUGGUGCAUCCCUGCCAGGGAAAACCACUGUAACUCAUGGGCAAUAGAAGUACAGAGGCAUCUAUUUUGAAGCCAGCCAGACCAUGGCACUGGGUCUCCGGAGUAUGGCACAAUAUGAUGACAGUGUUAACAUCAUCUUGGGUGGUGAUGUAUCUACUCAGACAAAUGUCAGCUUUGAAAGCUUGGGUUAUGAACUGUAUAUUUGAGUCCCUCUGUAUGCUGAGUAAUGCCAAAUAAAAAAUAAACCAGGUUA